rfam:Glossina austeni unplaced genomic scaffold Scaffold20, whole genome shotgun sequence.
UUUCAGUACGUCGGCGCCAUGGAUGGCGAACCGUGCAUGCUGCUAGCAAACAUGCUGCUACCAGCAGUAAUUUUUGAAGAUUU